rnacentral:rRNA from 1 species
GAUGAACGCUGGCGGCGUGCCUAAUACAUGCAAGUCGAGCGAACGGACGAGAAGCUUGCUUCUCUGAUGUUAGCGGCGGACGGGUGAGUAACACGUGGAUAACCUACCUAUAAGACUGGGAUAACUUCGGGAAACCGGAGCUAAUACCGGAUAAUAUUUUGAACCGCAUGGUUCAAAAGUGAAAGACGGUCUUGCUGUCACUUAUAGAUGGAUCCGCGCUGCAUUAGCUAGUUGGUAAGGUAACGGCUUACCAAGGCAACGAUGCAUAGCCGACCUGAGAGAGUGAUCGGCCACACUGGAGCUGAGACACGGUCCAGAGUCCUACGGGAGGCAGCAGUAGGGAAUGUUCCGCAAUGGGCGAAAGCCUGACGGAGCAACGCCGCGUGAGUGAUGAAGAUCUUCGGAUCGUAAAACUCUGUUAUUAGGGAAGAACAUAUGUGUAAGUAACUGUGCACAUCUUGACGGUAACUAAUCAGAAAGCCACGGCUAACUACGUG